UGCGCCCCCCCGCGGCCGGAGGGGGAAAAAAUUAUCUCUUGGCCUCCCCGUCGGGGAAUCGAACCCCGGUCUCCCGCGUGACAGGCGGGGAUACUCACCACUAUACUAACGAGGAAUUGCCUUGGAUAGGUCUUCUGUGGGAGAGCCUUUAUACAAAUCCACACAAACACUCCGCGGCGGUGAGAGCCUAGAGUCUACUCUUUUCGCUUGCGGCCGAGAGGGCAGCACGAUGUGGAGGGCUUAGUGGGGGUCAUGGCAUAGGAUUGCUGCUGUAGCAAUGUAAUCGUAAAGAUCCCGUUGGAAAAUUGGUAUGUCUUUGUUUA